UACAGAGGGGGCAAGCGUUAUUCGGAAUUAUUGGGCGUAAAGGGCGCGUAGGCGGCUUUUCAAGUGGCGGGUGAAAUCCCUCGGCUUAACCGAGGAACUGCCUGCCAGACUGGAUGGCUUGAGACCGGGAGAGGUGAGUGGAAUUCCCAGUGUAGCGGUGAAAUGCGUAGAUAUCAGGAGGAACACCGGUGGCGAAGGCGGUUCUCUGGGCAUUACCUGACGCUGAGGAGCGAAAGUGUGGGGAGCGAACAGG
rnacentral:rRNA from 1 species